rnacentral:rRNA from 1 species
AUUGAACGCUGGCGGCAUGCUUUACACAUGCAAGUCGAACGGUAACAGGCCUUCGGGUGCUGACGAGUGGCGAACGGGUGAGUAAUGCAUCGGAACGUGCCCAGAGGUGGGGGACAACGCAGCGAAAGCUGUGCUAAUACCGCAUGUGAUCUGAGGAUGAAAGCGGGGGACCAGGCAGCAAUGUUUGGCCUCGCGCCUUUGGAGCGGCCGAUGUCAGAUUAGGUAGUUGGUGGGGUAAAGGCCUACCAAGCCGACGAUCUGUAGCUGGUCUGAGAGGACGACCAGCCACACUGGGACUGAGACACGGCCCAGACUCCUACGGGAGGCAGCAGUGGGGAAUUUUGGACAAUGGGCGCAAGCCUGAUCCAGCAAUGCCGCGUGCGGGAAGAAGGCCUUCGGGUUGUAAACCGCUUUUGUACGGAACGAAAAGGCUCUGGCUAAUACCUGGGGCUGAUGACGGUACCGUAAGAAUAAGCACCGGCUAACUACGUG